rnacentral:rRNA from 1 species
AUUGAACGCUGGCGGCAUGCUUUACACAUGCAAGUCGAACGGUAACAGGGUGCUUGCACCGCUGACGAGUGGCGAACGGGUGAGUAAUGCGUCGGAACGUGCCGAGUAGUGGGGGAUAACGCAGCGAAAGUUGUGCUAAUACCGCAUACGUACUGAGGUAGAAAGUGGGGGACCUUCGGGCCUCACGCUAUUCGAGCGGCCGACGUCUGAUUAGCUAGUAGGUGAGGUAAAGGCUCACCUAGGCGACGAUCAGUAGCGGGUCUGAGAGGAUGAUCCGCCACACUGGGACUGAGACACGGCCCAGACUCCUACGGGAGGCAGCAGUGGGGAAUUUUGGACAAUGGGCGAAAGCCUGAUCCAGCCAUGCCGCGUGUCUGAAGAAGGCCUUCGGGUUGUAAAGGACUUUUGUCAGGGAGGAAAUCCCUAGUGCUAAUAACACUGGGGGAUGACAGUACCUGAAGAAUAAGCACCGGCUAACUACGUGCCAGCCGCCGCGGUAAUAC